GACGAACGCUGGCGGCGUGCUUAACACAUGCAAGUCGAACGGAAAGGCCCUGCUUUUGUGGGGUGCUCGAGUGGCGAACGGGUGAGUAACACGUGAGUAACCUGCCCUUGACUUUGGGAUAACUUCAGGAAACUGGGGCUAAUACCGGAUAGGAGCUCCUGCUGCAUGGUGGGGGUUGGAAAGUUUCGGCGGUUGGGGAUGGACUCGCGGCUUAUCAGCUUGUUGGUGGGGUAGUGGCUUACCAAGGCUUUGACGGGUAGCCGGCCUGAGAGGGUGACCGGCCACAUUGGGACUGAGAUACGGCCCAGACUCCUACGGGAGGCAGCAGUGGGGAAUAUUGCACAAUGGGCGGAAGCCUGAUGCAGCAACGCCGCGUGCGGGAUGACGGCCUUCGGGUUGUAAACCGCUUUCGCCUGUGACGAAGCGUGAGUGACGGUAAUGGGUAAAGAAGCACCGGCUAACUACGUGCCAGCAGCCGCGGUGAUACGUAGGGUGCGAGCGUUGUCCGGAUUUAUUGGGCGUAAAGGGCUCGUAGGUGGUUGAUCGCGUCGGAAGUGUAAUCUUGGGGCUUAACCCUGAGCGUGCCUUCGAUACGGGUUGACUUGAGGAAGGUAGGGGAGAAUGGAAUUCCUGGUGGAGCGGUGGAACGCGCAGAUAUCAGGAGGAACACCAGUGGCGAAGGCGGUUCUCUGGGCCUUUCCUGACGCUGAGGAGCGAAAGCGUGGGGAGCGAACAGGCUUAGAUACCCUGGUAGUCCACGCUGUAAACGGUGGGUACUAGGUGUGGGGUCCAUUCCACGGGUUCCGUGCCGUAGCUAACGCUUUAAGUACCCCGCCUGGGGAGUACGGCCGCAAGGCUAAAACUCAAAGGAAUUGACGGGGCCCCGCACAAGCGGCGGAGCAUGCGGAUUAAUUCGAUGCAACGCGUAGAACCUUACCUGGGUUUGACAUGGAUCGGGAGUGCUCAGAGAUGGGUGUGCCUCUUUUGGGGUCGGUUCACAGGUGGUGCAUGGCUGUCGUCAGCUCGUGUCGUGAGAUGUUGGGUUAAGUCCCGCAACGAGCGCAACCCUUGUUCACUGUUGCCAGCACGUUAUGGUGGGGACUCAGUGGAGACCGCCGGGGUCAACUCGGAGGAAGGUGGGGAUGACGUCAAGUCAUCAUGCCCCUUAUGUCCAGGGCUUCACGCAUGCUACAAUGGCUGGUACAGAGAGUGGCGAGCCUGUGAGGGUGAGCGAAUCUCGGAAAGCCGGUCUCAGUUCGGAUUGGGGUCUGCAACUCGACCUCAUGAAGUCGGAGUCGCUAGUAAUCGCAGAUCAGCAACGCUGCGGUGAAUACGUUCCCGGGGCU
rnacentral:rRNA from 1 species